GGGUUAGAACAAUGCGGGACACACUCGCAGUCGAACGGUGCCUUCGGGCAUAGUGGCGGACGGGUGAGUAACGCGUGAGAAUCUAGCUCUAGGUCGGGGACAACCACUGGAAACGGUGGCUAAUACCGGAUGAGCCGAAAGGUAAAAGAUUUAUUGCCUAGAGAUGAGCUCGCGUCUGAUUAGCUAGUAGGUGUGGUAAGAGCGCACCUAGGCGACGAUCAGUAGCUGGUCUGAGAGGAUGAUCAGCCACACUGGGACUGAGACACGGCCCAGACUCCUACGGGAGGCAGCAGUGGGGAAUUUUCCGCAAUGGGCGAAAGCCUGACGGAGCAAUACCGCGUGAGGGAGGAAGGCUCUUGGGUUGUAAACCUCUUUUCUCAGGGAAUAAGAACUGAAGGUACCUGAGGAAUAAGCAUCGGCUAACUCCGUGCCAGCAGCCGCGGUAAUACGGAGGAUGCAAGCGUUAUCCGGAAUGAUUGGGCGUAAAGGGUCCGCAGGUGGCCUUGUAAGUCUGCUGUUAAAGAGUGAGGCUUAACCUCAUAAAAGCAGUGGAAACUACAAAGCUAGAGUGCGUUCGGGGUAGCAGGAAUUCCUGGUGUAGCGGUGAAAUGCGUAGAGAUCAGGAAGAACACCGGUGGCGAAAGCGUGCUACUAGGCCGUAACUGACACUGAGGGACGAAAGCUAGGGGAGCGAAAGGGAUUAGUCCCCCCUCUUGUUAAUCUCAUCAAAA
rnacentral:rRNA from 1 species